CGUUUUUCGUUUCGAAAUUUUUCAUAUUGUAAGAAAAAAGAAAUAAGUAGUCGAAUAAUUUAUUCCCGAAAAUAAAAAUUUACAAUAUAGAAAUAUAAGAUUUUAUAAUAUGCUCGAUUUUAUAAUACGUAGAUAAUAUUGCGAUGGAAUUAUAUUGUGUUUAUAUCCGUGGAGCGAAGAUUUGUAUUGCUGACUCACCUCUGCGUAGCGUGAUUGUUGUGUUUAUAUAUAAGACGCGCAAAAUCCGAGCACGAGCUUCAUUCGUAGUUUCUACGUCGUAUCGAGUGGAUUUCAAAUCUGGACGAUGGUGACGAUGGACGAUAAUUAUCGGCAUUUUUCAUCGAAAAAGGGAACAUUGAAGGUAAAUAUUUUAUAUCAAUCGAAUCGUAUAAUGUUGUUACGAUAAAUUAUUAGUUUAUGUCGAACAAUUCGAUAGUUUUACGGAAUAAAACUUACAAAAACGAAAUUUCAAUAAUUUAUUUUUAUUCCGCGUCGUUAAUGGAAUUGGAUUAUUGUUAAGAAUAUGAAUAAUUCGCAUCGUUGCCAAGUACAUUAAGGAAAAUUUUCGCAAUAUCGAAACAUUUCGAUGAUUUAUUCGCACAACGUAAUUAAUAUCGAAUAUUAUUAUCGCCGUUGAAUUAUUCAUAUCUUCUUUAUAAAUAUUUUUGAACGUAAAAGAACGUAAUUAGCACGAGACUUUAUAUUCUUUAUCUCUUAUUCCAUUAAUUUUAACACAAGAUUGAUCGAUUCGAUCAAAGAAUCGAAGGGAAUUUAGAAUUCUUUCUUUUUUUUCUCUUUAGCUUUUUGCCUCUCACCAUUUCGAACACAUAAAUAAUCGUAGUGGAAUCCAAUCCCGGAAGGGCAAUGUGUCGAACGACACAAACAUCCUCGGUGUCAUGCAGCGUGAGAUUCCUACGGCAGUUUAUCUCCCUUCAGCCCGAUAGCCAAGGCGCUUCUGUUAUCACAGGCCGCGUUGUUGGCAGCAUAAAUUGAUACAGAUGCGAGUUAGCCCGAGUUUUUCGCCCCCGCUGUUAUUCUACGGGAAUAGCUGAUGGCGGUUUUCUGGAGGAACGAAAAUCAUUGGAGAAGAGAUUUAAGCGAGACGAGGUUCCUCGAUUUGAGAUCCAUCAAAGGAGGCGAUAACUGUCUUGCCGCUCAUGGGACACUGCGGUUUUCUCGCUUGCCGUCGCAGAAUCGUCGGAACAUUCAGACCACGGGCAUCGUUAAACGAUCGUUAACAAGGCCUCCUCGAAGCUCCAACGCGGGACGGACGGAACGAUUUGUCAAGAUCUGUGUGACGGGGGUUUCUCGCAGCAGUUUCUCCAGUCGAAAAAAUAUCAUAAUUCCGUUUCAUAAUUCGAAUUUCUAUCUUUAUCGUAAUUUUAGAAAAAUUAGAAAUCCCUUUACUUAACUUCUAUCAAUAUAAAAAAAAAAAAAAAAAAAGAAAGACGGGUUAGAUUACUUGCAAGAGCGAUUCUCAAAUAUAUAUUUCCAUUCUCCUCCUCUUCUCUUAACCAAAUCGAAAAACCAAAAAGAGAAAAAAGAUCCAACCACCUUCCAACAACCACCUCCCAUCCUACCAUGAGAAAUCGCAAUUGGAAGCGGGCAACCCUAGAUAUACUUCACGGUCGAUUAGCCGGAAGCAACGCCAAUCUUCCUCGUCGAUUUUCAACUCUCGCGCUCGGGCGGAGGGGGGAAGGGGGAGAGCAAAAGUUCAUUUGCGCUUAAUGCCGCGCGAUUAAUUGCCCCUCGGCCACUCGGCGAGAGGUUGUAAGGCCAUUUACGGCGGUGGCUCUGGCCCGUGUUUAUCCCCCCCGCGCUGCCUACAAAUUCGUUCGCACUCGAAUUCCAGCGUCGUGGCCGCGCGAGGGGCCGAUUUAUCGGUGGCUUCCGUGGCCGGGAACCGCGGAAACGACGCUUUGCACGGGGAUCCACGUGAACACGAUCGUGGACGACCCGGGGACACGAAUAACCAACCGAGGCCUUGCCUUGCCUCGGUCCGUCCGCUCAACCGAGCCACGGAAACCGGCCGACGCGAGGAGACGACUCGUCCAUUCGCGACAACUCUUCUCCAUUUCCGGCCGGCCGUGUUCGAGGAUCGGUGCCGCAAUUAGCAACGACCUCUGCUCCACUCCUCUGCCCGCACCCCCUCCCCACCCCGAUGCGCGAAGAACCGGCACGGAAACGGCAUUUGAAUUGCAUUUCGCAUCGUGAGAGCAUUGCCUGAUUCCGUGUCUUCGCCGAGAAAUUGCGAGUUGGAGGUGGAUUAAAAGGGAGAGGGAGGAGGUUCGCGAAAGGGGAUGUCGAGGAGGGUGAAUCGGGUGCCACGAUUUCUUUCGGGGACACAGGAGUCAAUGAAAUGGGAGGAACUCGAGGAGGAGCGAACAGAUUUUUCAUUCCUCUUUUUUUUCCUUUCUUCUCGGUUCUCGUGAGAUAUCAUGGAUAUCAUUUCGAGGGAUUAUUUAGAAUUUUGUAUAUAUAGGGAAUAAUCGUCAAACGAUCGCGUCUUUUGUUCUGAACGAAAGAUACGAUCGAUAAUGAGUUUAAAUUAUUACGAAAAAUAAAACGAAAUUAUUCUAUUUUCAUUAACCUUGCGAAGUUAAAAUUAUCUAAAUCUCGUCGCUUCGAGAGUGAUCAUUCACGAUUCCUUCCCUCGAGUCCUUUACCCUAUUUCGAUCUGAAAGCCACUUUCACCUGACCAACCUGACUCACCUACGUUCGAUUCGUUUAUCCACGCACGGUAUUCGGCCCCUCCCCUCCCGUAUUCCAUCCACUCCAUCACCCGCUCCCGAGAAAACCGAGAGCGAUAAAGAAAUCGCUUCGUUCCGAAAAAGCCUCCGACCAAUCCUCCGGAAUAACGCGAGAGAAAGGGGCGAGCGGGGGGGAGAGAACUCGAGAGAGGGAAAGAAAAAGGAGAGGAAGGGAAAGAGAAAGGAAGAGAAAGAAAGGGAAAAAAAGAAAGCAAAGGGGAGAAAGGUUAGCCGUGGAAGAAUAUCGCGCGCAGACGCCCGGUAACGAUCGAGCGGGGCGAGCUCUCCUCCUCUCUCUCCCCCUUCUCUCUCUCUCUCUCUCUCUCUCUCGGUUACAAACAUUGCAUAGCCGCGUGUUUUACAGCCGGGCCCCGUUUCGGCCUUAAAUUUCUCGAUCGUCGCGACGGUGGUCCGUGGGAAAAUUGGCGUGUCCGUGCAACGCGGCAAAAAAUUACAUGAAUUUCUAAAGGGCAAAGGACACGGGGAAUUGUCGAACGGUUGUACCCCGCGGCCGGUGUAACGCGAUCCUACCGUAAUUCACGUUGGUUUUACGCUUUAUGCGACACGCAGAACAUUGCGCGCGGCUCGCGCGAAUUUACAGGGGAGGCGCGCGCGUACCGAGGCGAGCCGAGGCGGACAAAACCUUUGCGACCACGGGGCCACGGCUUGAUGGACGCCUGGCCGGUAUUGGAUUAAACGACGGGGAGGGGAAAAAAAAAAAAAAAAGAAAAAAACGAGGAAGAGAAGAGUGAGAGAGAGGGAAUAACGCGACGGUUGUGGACCGACGUUGUUUCCCUCUCUAUCUAUCUGUCUGUCUAUCUAUCUGUCUGUCUCUCUCUCUCUGUUGCUUUUUUCUCAGAGACUUUCCGCGCCGAGCCUCCGCGGACAAGGCGAUCGCGAUAGGCGGUCGGCCGGAUGGAGGAAUGGUAAAAUAUGCAGGCGAGCUUUGUACCGCCGUGCUCGAGGUUUCUACGCUACGUGAAUGGGCGGCUUUUUUCCCGAGAUAGAGACGUGAAUUUUUAUUGUUUCGCGGGAGACGGUUUGGAGAUGGUUAAGGAGAUUUUGGUAUCGCGGAAGGGGAGGGAGGAGAAUGAAUGAGAUGAUUGAUCGUUUGGCGAUCGGUGAAUGGUUUCGUUGAAUGGGACGGAUGAUCGGGGGGGAAAGGAAAGGAGGCAAAAUUUUAUCGAUUUCUUGGUGGCUUGUUUGGAUACGUUUUGAAUGAAAUUAUAGACGCACGUUUAAUUCUUUUCGUUUAAUUGAAAUUAUCCCAAGUGAAGAAAGAAAAAUUGAAAUGGCUUGUCUGAAAUGGAAAAUUAACUUGUUUAGAAAAAUGUUUUAUACUAGGUUUUUAAACGAGAUCAUAGACACGCGUUUAAUUCCUUUCUAAAAAUUGAAAUUAUUUUGCAAUAUCAUUUUACUUGGGUUAAGAAAAAAAAAAUUAAAAACUUGAGAUACAAAUAAUGUCUCUUCAAUCGUUCCAUACAAAUAUAUCAAGUGUCCUAUUCUUCGAAAUAUUCAUCGAACAAAUUACGCUUGCAAAGAAAUCAUCGAAGUCGUUUAAUUCAUUUUCAAUUGAACGCAUCAAAUUCUCGCGUCAAAUUCGCGUAAACAACCAUACGUUAGAAACCGAUUCUCGUUAAAAAGCAGCAACCAGAAAUUUAUCGCGAGCGGUCAAACAUCGCGGGUUCGUUUCUCGCGUCGGGUGCAUAAUUGUAAAAAUGUCGCCGGGAAGAGGGGGAGGGGAGGGUGUGCGGUAAAAAGCGCGAAUCCGCGGAAUAACGCGCGCGAUUUUAAAACGAACGACGUUAAUCCGUUCUGCAAACCGCGUUACGCGAUCGCCGUACUCGCCGAUUUUAUUAUGUGAACGCGUUCAUAGUUAAACGCUUGUAAAUUUCUGUAAUGCGGCAGCGGGAGGGGAGGAGGAGGAGGAGGAGGGAGCAGAGAGAGAGAGAGAGAGAGAGAGGGUUGGGGGAGGGAGCGCGCGCGCGCGCAUCGAAAAGUUGCGAAUAACCGUUUUUAUAUUUACACGGUAAUCCGGCGAUAAAUUCGCCACUCCUUUCGCGCUGGUUCAUCGGGCGGUAUCGGGCGCGAGUUAUUUUAAAUUUUAAUUUCGGACCGGGUCCACAGUCCGCGGCGAGAGAGAGAGAAAAAAAAAUGGCGCAUUGUAAAUCCGUCGCCGAUUUUUCAUUAAGCUUUACCUCGGUUAAAUGCAUGAACGGUUGCAUUAAAAACCGUGUCUUUAUCGCGUUGAAUUUCUGUUUUUUUCUCUCUCUCUUUUUUCUUUUUUUUUUUUUCGAUUUUUAAUUUUGACGCGGAAAGAAAGGAAAAGAGGAGGCGGAGAUAUGUAGAAUAUUUAUUGGAUUGCUGAGAAAUAAUUUGAAGGAAGGAGAGAAGGGGGAAUAAAAAGGGAGAAUGUAUAAGGGUGAUUAAAAUACUUGGGAGGCAGCUCGUGUUGCGCAGCUCGGAUCGCAGUUGUUGCGAAGUUAUCUUUCGUCAGAAUCAAUUGGUGGCCUCCUUCUUCUUCGUAUUAUAAAGUGUUCCUUCGAAACGGCCAUUUGGAUUCAUUUGAUCCCUCGUGAUCAUCCUCGGAUAACAGAAGAAAUUGUUUAACGCGGAGAAAAAUGAAAUAUUUACAGGAGAAACAUUUAUUCGUAACAUUCGAAACUUUCUUCGAAACCGCGUAAACGUAUUCUUUAUCCAUCUCUCAAUUCCAACCAAAAAAAGAAAAAAAGAAAAGAAAGGAAAGAGAAGAAAAGAAAAAAGUCAAAUAAACAUCAAUCGCCUGCUCCUCCAACACGUACUCAAAAACUUGCAAUAACCGCCACUUGGAACUCUCUACCCCCCCCUCGCCCCAUCCUGCGCAGGUAGCAUGGCCCGAUACACUGGCCCGGUAAGUCGACCUUUAAAGAUUCAAUGGCCGGGCUAUCUGCCGGCUUUUGUACGUAUCCCGCACACGAGUGCUCGCAACACAGCCCCAACGUAACGGUGGAAAAAGGGUUGAAAGGGUAGCGAUAAGAGAGGAUAGCCGGAGUGCUCGAUCCGCGAAAGAAGAAAAGAGGAAGUUUGGCGGGAGGGGGUGGCCGAGGCAGGUGGAGUGAGACUCGGUCGGGGGAGGGGGGUGGCAGUCGUGCAUUGUAUCGCGAGUUUUUUCGAACGAGGCAGCUCCGGGGACGACGCCACGGCCGUGCUAGCGGAGGGUAUUUGGAGAGAGGGUGCACGGGGGUGGAGAACGAGCCGGGAGGGGUGAGUCGGUCGGUCUGGUGGGCGAACGUCUGUCUGUUGGCUGCCAGCGAGCCAGUCAAUCAUUACGGGCUGCGCAAGCGCCUGCGACCCAUCUUCGCUCUCCUCCAACCAUCCUUUUCGCCCUUCAACCCCCUCGCCCGUCUCCCUCUUUCCAACCCAAGCUCCUCGACCAAGCACGUCUCGCUUCUCCUUCGACUCUCUCUCUCGCUCGCUCUCUCCUCUCGUUCCGUUCGACUCGUCCCUCUCCGUCGCCUUCUCUCGUUCAUCCCCUUCGUUUCCCUCAGUAGCGAGUUCACCCCGUUGCCUCCGCGCCACAAGCACGCUACAAUGCUGCCCGCCACCGCCGCCGCCCAUCCUGCAUAUUUAAGCGAGCUGUCUUGCCAUCCAGCCACCCGUACACCGACCGUCGACCGUUCUCCACCAUAGCCGACCGCGGCUUCCGCGUGUGUAUACGCUUUGUACAUGCCUUUUGCGUAGAGGAUCUUAUGCCUAUGCUUAAUUAUGGAUGUAUUCUUCGAUCGAAAGAAAUAUAUAUAUAUCACUUUUAAAAUUAAAUUACUUCUUAAAACAGAAGAACAAUACAGAAGAGGAAAAAGGAAGGAUACAACAAUACUACAAAUCUAUCUCUCUCUAUCUCAUCCGAUAAAAAGAAAAAAGAAUCGUGAAAUUAUAGAACUAAUUUAUUAAUCGCGAAACCGAAAAUGGAUUGCCAAUUGAUUGCCUUUCCAAUUUCGUGGACGAGAGAGAAAACUAAAGCUUCCGCCACACACGGCACAAAAGCUACGCGUCCUGAGGCGCCCCCAUCGGCGAGGGUGGCGAAACGGGGAACCGCGGCGGCUUUCCCCGUGGGCAUGCGCCGCGUGGCGCGGGGGUGGGUGAGUGUCGGAGGAAGGACGAAAGGGUGGUAGCCGGGCCGUGGAGCGGCGGUGGUGGUGGAAGCCCGGGGGUUGCGUUGUGCCGGCGGGGUGGUAGUCGCGCAAAACCGGAGGGUCGCCCACGGCUCCGCUCGGCUCGUUCACUCGCUCGUGCUCGCUCGCUCGCUUACGCCGCUGCCGGCUGGCCGGGGGUGUUUCCAUGGAUACGGCGCUCGCGCCUUGACAUUGACAAAUGGCUGACCGAGGGUGAGCCGAACACAGCGCCGCUUUUACAUAUGCAGGGACACCCAUUUGUCCGCGCGGGGGUGGGAUGAGGCGGGAAGCGGACGGUGGCCGACGGAGAAAGAAGGGAGCGGGGAGAGUGGGAAGGGUGGCGACGACGACCGCCGGCCGCGACCGCCGCCGCGUCGCCCGCUCAUUCGCGAUACUUUGAUACCUUGCUCGGUGAAACGAUUCCCUUUUUCUGCGAUCGUCCGCCAUUGCCGAUUAAUCUUAAUUAAUCUUGUCGAUGAUACGAUCUGAAAUGAAAAUGUUUGUGCGUAUGA